rnacentral:rRNA from 1 species
AGAGUUUGAUCCUGGCUCAGGAUGAACGCUAGCGGCAGGCUUAACACAUGCAAGUCGAGGGGCAGCGGGGAGGAAGCUUGCUUUCUCCGCCGGCGACCGGCGCACGGGUGAGUAACACGUAUGCAACCUGCCCCUGUCAGGGGGACAACCCGCCGAAAGGCGGGCUAAACCCGCGUACAUGCCACCGGGGCAUCCCGGAGGCAGGAAAGGCUUCGGCCGGACAGGGAUGGGCAUGCGGCGCAUUAGGCAGUAGGCGGGGUAACGGCCCACCUAACCGACGAUGCGUAGGGGUUCUGAGAGGAAGGUCCCCCACACUGGUACUGAGACACGGACCAGACUCCUACGGGAGGCAGCAGUGAGGAAUAUUGGUCAAUGGUCGGGAGACUGAACCAGCCAAGCCGCGUGAGGGAGGAAGGUACAGAGUAUCGUAAACCUCUUUUGUCAGGGAACAAAGACUGGGACGCGUCCCCGGAUGAGUGUACCUGAAGAAAAAGCAUCGGCUAACUCCGUGCCAGCAGCCGCGGUAAUACGGAGGAUGCGAGCGUUAUCCGGAUUUAUUGGGUUUAAAGGGUGCGCAGGCGGUCUGUUAAGUCAGCGGUCAAAGCCCGGGGCUCAACCCCGGCCCGCCGUUGAAACUGGCAGUCUCGAGUUGGAGAGAAGUAUGCGGAAUGCGCGGUGUAGCGGUGAAAUGCAUAGAUAUCGCGCAGAACUCCGAUUGCGAAGGCAGCAUGCCGGCUCCACACUGACGCUGAGGCACGAAAGCGUGGGUAUCGAACAGGAUUAGAUACCCUGGUAGUCCACGCAGUAAACGAUGAAUGCUGGCUGUCCGGGGGGACUGACCCCUGGGUGGCGAAGCGAAAGCGAUAAGCAUUCCACCUGGGGAGUACGCCGGCAACGGUGAAACUCAAAGGAAUUGACGGGGGCCCGCACAAGCGGAGGAACAUGUGGUUUAAUUCGAUGAUACGCGAGGAACCUUACCCGGGCUCAAACGGGGAGUGGCGCAGGCAGAGACGCCUGUUUCCCACGGGACACUCCCCGAGGUGCUGCAUGGUUGUCGUCAGCUCGUGCCGUGAGGUGUCGGCUUAAGUGCCAUAACGAGCGCAACCCCCGCGUGCAGUUGCUAACAGUCAACGCUGAGGACUCUGCACGGACUGCCGGCGCAAGCCGCGAGGAAGGCGGGGAUGACGUCAAAUCAGCACGGCCCUUACGUCCGGGGCGACACACGUGUUACAAUGGGUGGUACAGCGGGAAGCCAGGCGGCGACGCCGAGCGGAACCCGAAAUCCACUCUCAGUUCGGAUCGGAGUCUGCAACCCGACUCCGUGAAGCUGGAUUCGCUAGUAAUCGCGCAUCAGCCAUGGCGCGGUGAAUACGUUCCCGGGCCUUGCACUCACCGCCCGUCAAG